GGGGCAAUAGAACUGCAAGUCGACGAACUUAACCAUUAGUUUACUAUUGGGAGCGGUUAGUGGCGGACUGGUGAGUAACACGUAAGCAACCUGCCUAUCAGAGGGGAACAACGGUUAGAAAUGACUGCUAAUACCGCAUAUGCCUUAGUAACACAUGUUACAAAAGGGAAAGAAGCAAUUCGCUGAUAGAUGGGCUUGCGUCUGAUUAGAUAGUUGGUGGGGUAACGGCCUACCAAGUCGACGAUCAGUAGCCGGACUGAGAGGUUGAACGGCCACAUUGGGACUGAGAUACGGCCCAGACUCCUACGGGAGGCAGCAGUCGGGAAUAUUGCGCAAUGGAGGAAACUCUGACGCAGUGACGCCGCGUGCAGGAAGAAGGUUUUCGGAUUGUAAACUGCUUUAGACAGGGAAGAAACAAGACAGUACCUGUAGAAUAAGCUCCGGCUAACUACGUGCCAGCAGCCGCGGUAAUACGUAGGGAGCAAGCGUUAUCCGGAUUUAUUGGGUGUAAAGGGUGCGUAGACGGGAAGUCAAGUUAGUUGUGAAAUCCCUCGGCUUAACUGAGGAACUGCAACUAAAACUAACUUUCUUGAGUGCUGGAGAGGAAAGUGGAAUUCCUAGUGUAGCGGUGAAAUGCGUAGAUAUUAGGAGGAACACCAGUGGCGAAGGCGACUUUCUGGACAGUAACUGACGUUGAGGCACGAAAGUGUGGGGAGCAAACAGGAUUAGAUACCCCGGUAGUCCACACCG
rnacentral:rRNA from 1 species